GCACUGCUGAAGAGUUCCACAAUAGGACGAAACAGCCGUUCAAUGC
rnacentral:hammerhead_ribozyme from 1 species